rnacentral:tRNA from 1 species
GCCCGAGUGGCGGAAUUGGCAGACGCGGCGGACUCAAAAUCCGCUUCUGGCAACAGAGUGUGGGUUCGAGUCCCACCUCGGGCA